CAGAACGAACGCUGGCGGCAUGCCUAAUACAUGCAAGUCGAACGAACUCUUCGGAGUUAGUGGCGCACGGGUGCGUAACGCGUGGGAAUCUGCCCCUUGGUUCGGAAUAACAGUUGGAAACGACUGCUAAUACCGGAUGAUGACGAAAGUCCAAAGAUUUAUCGCCAAGGGAUGAGCCCGCGUAGGAUUAGCUAGUUGGUGAGGUAAAGGCUCACCAAGGCAACGAUCCUUAGCUGGUCUGAGAGGAUGAUCAGCCACACUGGGACUGAGACACGGCCCAGACUCCUACGGGAGGCAGCAGUAGGGAAUAUUGGACAAUGGGCGAAAGCCUGAUCCAGCAAUGCCGCGUGAGUGAUGAAGGCCUUA
rnacentral:rRNA from 1 species